CAGUUAAACUGUCAGAUUGGGAUGGACUAUAAAAUAGGAAUCAGGCUGGGAUGGGAAGGGGUGAGUUAGGGCUGAGACAGAGAUAAAUGAUUUUUAAUAGAUUUUAAAAGCUCUGACCCAUUGUCCUUCCUGGUCACCACUAUCUGUGCUUUUCCCAGUCGGCUGUGGUUCUUUGGGUGUGAAUUCAGCUGCAUCUUCGCGUGUUUUCGGGAUCAGAUUUUGGCCACCUUCCAAAAACCUCCUUGCAAUCUCCUCAACACUGGGGCCUGGGAAGGAGACAUGAUGGUUAGAAAUUAAAGCACCCUCUGAAUUCUGCACGCUGAUGAUCACCUUGCUUAAAAAAUCAGGAUAUGGCCUUGAUCGAGGAGAUAUACUGAACUGAAUCUAUUUAUGCAAUGGAAGUAGAAGCGCAUCUCAUUUCUCAAGGCAGAUCUGCAUGCACAAAUGCCAAGGACCCAGGAGUAGCUCUCUCUAUCUCUAUCCACCCCCCAGGAGCACCUACUGGAGAGCAGUGAACAGAAUUUCAGCUGGUUGAUUUAAUGACUUCUGCAUAUGAAUCAGACUUAAAAAUGCUGUUCAAAAUAAUAUUAUGACUGAACUCUAUUCUAAAUGGAGGAGGGGGUGAAAUUCAUGCAGCAUCUAACCAAGGAAAUCGUACAACUGAAUCACCCUUAAUAUGAAAAAGCAUAGUCUACUGGAAAUUCUUUUGCAAGGAAAACUCAUGGAAUACUGUUUCCUUAUAGGUAAGAAAGUUAACUAUAGAUUAGUAGUAUCCUUCACUUAAGAGAUGCUCUCUGUGUGGGAGGUGGUAUGGGAAUGAUGGUAGUAAUUGCAGAGAAAUAAUAGAAAACAAGA